GUCUGGCAAACCACGGACAGACCAGGCACAUGGUAAGAGGAACAGCCCAUGAUGGGGUACGGUGCGCUCACCCAUGAGCUCUCUGGGGUGUUGGGAAGAGGCCUGGCCAGCCCUGUCAGGUGCCACGUGGAAGCUUCCAGGAGGCCUGGCAAGACCAGAGGAGCUGCAGCAUGUGGGGGCCAUGGCCCCUGUGCCAGGCCCAGCGGUGUGCGGCCGACCAGCCCUCAGGGCUGCCCUGGGCCAGGCUGGGGGUCCGUGUAGCUCACUGGGGUGGUGGGGGGUUGGCCAGGCACAGCACCUUGGCUCGUGGCCCCUCCCAGCGGGAGCCUGCAGGUUGAGGUGGAGCUGGCCCUUGGCUGGCUGCCCAGGAAGCGCACCCCCUCUGCAGGGACCAAGCCGGAACCUCCUGCUCAACGGGAAGUCUUACCCCACCAAAGUGCGCCUGAUCCGGGGGGGCUCCCUGCCCCCAGUCAAGCGGCGGCGGAUGAACUGGAUCGACGCCCCGGAUGACGUGUUCUACAUGGCCACAGAGGAGACCAGGUGGGGCCUUCCCAGGGCAGGCGGGAGGGCUCGGCACAGCGUCCCGGGCCUCACCACCACCUGUGCCCACAGGAAGAUCCGCAAGCUGCUCUCAUCCUCGGAAACCAAGCGUGCUGCCCGCCGGCCCUACAAGCCCAUCGCCCUGCGCCAGAGCCAGGCCCUGCCGCUGCGGCCACCGCCACCUGCGCCCGUCAACGACGAGCCCAUCGUCAUCGAGGACUAGGGGCCGCCCCCACCUGCGGCCGC
rnacentral:sRNA from 1 species